GCUCUGGGCAGGAGGGGAGGCUUGCAAUGCUGGGAAUGCUGGGAGGGGGGCAUUUACGGCUGGACACUCGCUGAGCUCUCCCCCUAUCCAGAGGAGGAGGCAGGCUCCUGUGCAGAUAAGGUGGUUGGCAACGGGACCAGGCAGUGGGAGCACUCUGGAAGGCUUCCUGCAGGUGGGGGAGGGCUGGGCUUUUGUAGGUGGGUUUGGGGAGGAGAUGGCCACAGUGAGUUAGAAUCAGGAAGUGGCAAGGCCCUGGAGUCUGGAGUGAGAAGUGUUGGAGGAGGUGGUGUCAGAAACGAAACCAGGCAUCGGAUCCUGGGGGUCCAGUGCAGGGACGAGGGCCUUGGACUUUGGUGCCAGCAUGAAGUGAGCCUGUUCAGGUCAGUGCUGGAGGCUUAGGGACGUCCCCUAGCCAGGGGGACGCUGACACGGAGUCCAAGGAUGUCCCCUAGCCAGCGGGACGCUGACACGGAGUCCGAGGGACGUCCCCUAGCCAGGGGGACGCUGACACGGAGUCCAAGGGACGUCCCCUAGCCAGGGGGACGCUGACACGGAGUCCAGGGACGUCCCCUAGCCAGGGGGACGCUGACACGGAGUCCAAGGGACGUCUCCUAGCCAGGGGGACGCUGACAUGGAGUCCAAGGAACGUCCCCUAGCCAGGGGGACGCUGACAUGGAGUCCAAGGAACGUCCCCUAGCCAGGGGGACGCUGACACGGAGUCCAAGGGACGUCUCCUAGCCAGGGGGACGCUGACAUGGAGUCCAAGGAACGUCCCCUAGCCAGGGGGACGCUGACACGGAGUCCAAGGAAGGAUGCAGGGGAUCCCACUUGGGAAUUCAGAAGAUUUGCCACCCUACCCUUGUAUAAGCUGCGUCCCCCACCCCCUAGGAGACUUGGUGGGGGACCAUGGUGGACCCCAAUCUGAGGGACCCUAUUUGCUGAAAUGCAGACCUGUGGGGACACAUCAGUGGUCUGUGAGGGCCGGAGGGGGAACCCUGGAAUUGGGUUUGCUCCUUGAAGUCUGCAGGUAUGCCCCAGAUGGAGGUGACGCAGAGGAGGGGUGCCGGGUGGGGUUGGCUGAGACCAGACACCUGGCUCCUGCCAGCACUGAUCAGGGCCCACCGGCUUCAGAUCCACUUCCAGACCCCAGACUGGCCUCUGAAGGCUCUUGCUGGCUGUGGCUGGCUGAGGACGCUUCUCCUGGCCAGAACCCUCCAAGGGGCUGGCCAUAGGUGGGCCUGAGUGUUCUUUGCCGUGAUGAACUGGAUCUGUCAAAGACACUUCCAUGCAAAUUUAGUGAGUGGAAGAGGCCUCAGGCCUAAUUUGUGCCAAUUGGAUUAAGGUGUGAGUGCAGUCUGAUGACAAAUACGCUCAAAUGAGAAUCAGCUUAAUGUGGCUCAGGCCUGGUUCUGAUUAAAUUGUUUCUCCUUCAACUGUUUGGAAA